rnacentral:rRNA from 1 species
AGUGAACGCUGGCGGUAGGCCUAACACAUGCAAGUCGAACGGCAGCACAGUAAGAGCUUGCUCUUACGGGUGGCGAGUGGCGGACGGGUGAGGAAUACAUCGGAAUCUACUUUUUCGUGGGGAUAACGUAGGGAAACUUACGCUAAUACCGCAUACGACCUACGGGUGAAAGCAGGGGAUCUUCGGACCUUGCGCGAUUGAAUGAGCCGAUGUCGGAUUAGCUAGUUGGCGGGGUAAAGGCCCACCAAGGCGACGAUCCGUAGCUGGUCUGAGAGGAUGAUCAGCCACACUGGAACUGAGACACGGUCCAGACUCCUACGGGAGGCAGCAGUGGGGAAUAUUGGACAAUGGGCGCAAGCCUGAUCCAGCCAUACCGCGUGGGUGAAGAAGGCCUUCGGGUUGUAAAGCCCUUUUGUUGGGAAAGAAAAGCAGCAGGUUAAUACCCCGCUGUUCUGACGGUACCCAAAGAAUAAGCACAGGCUAACUUCGUG